rnacentral:tRNA from 1 species
GGGGAAGUGGCGGAACGGUAGACGCGCUGGCUUCAGGAGCCAGUGUCCGCGAGGGUGUGGGGGUUCGAAUCCCCCCUUCCCCACCA